rnacentral:rRNA from 1 species
GAUGAACGCUAGCGGCAGGCUUAAUACAUGCAAGUCGAGGGGCAGCAUGAUUGUAGCAAUACAAUUGAUGGCGACCGGCAAACGGGUGCGGAACACGUACACAACCUUCCAAUAAGUGGGGAAUAGCCCAGAGAAAUUUGGAUUAAUACCCCGUAACAUAACGAUGUGGCAUCACAUUGUUAUUAUAGAUUUUUCACUUAUUGAUGGGUGUGCGGCUGAUUAGAUAGUUGGCGGGGUAACGGCCCACCAAGUCUACGAUCAGCAGCUGAUGUGAGAGCAUGAUCAGCCACACGGGCACUGAGACACGGGUCCGACUCCUACGGGAGGCAGCAGUAAGGAAUAUUGGACAAUGGACGCAAGUCUGAUCCAGCCAUGCCGCGUGAAGGAUUAAGGUCCUCUGGAUUGUAAACUUCUUUUAUAAGGGACGAAAAAAGGCUUUUCUAAGUCGUCUGACGGUACCUUAUGAAUAAGCACCGGCUAACUCUGUGCCAGCCGCCGCUGUAAAAC